UACAGAGGGUGCAAGCGUUAAUCGGAAUUACUGGGCGUAAAGCGCGCGUAGGCGGUUUGUUAAGUCGGAUGUGAAAUCCCUGGGCUCAACCUAGGCACUGCAUCCGAUACUGGCUGACUAGAGUGUGGGAGAGGAAGGUAGAAUUCCAGGUGUAGCGGUGAAAUGCGUAGAGAUCUGGAGGAAUACCGAUGGCGAAGGCAGCCUUCUGGCCUAACACUGACGCUGAGGUGCGAAAGCAUGGGGAGCAAACAGGAUUAGAUACCCUGGUAGUCCAUGCUGUAAACGAUGUCAACUAGCCGUUGGGGUCUUUAAGACUUUAGUGGCGUAGCUAACGCGAUAAGUUGACCGCCUGGGGAGUACGGUCGCAAGACUAAAACUCAAAUGAAUUGACGGGGGCCCGCACAAGCGGUGGAGCAUGUGGUUUAAUUCGAUGCAACGCGAAGAACCUUACCUGGCCUUGACAUGUCUGGAAUCCUGCAGAGAUGCGGGAGUGCCUUCGGGAAUCAGAACACAGGUGCUGCAUGGCUGUCGUCAGCUCGUGUCGUGAGAUGUUGGGUUAAGUCCCGCAACGAGCGCAACCCUUAUCCUUAUUUGCCAGCACGUAAUGGUGGGAACUCUAAGGAGACUGCCGGUGACAAACCGGAGGAAGGCGGGGACGACGUCAAGUCAUCAUGGCCCUUACGGCCAGGGCUACACACGUGCUACAAUGGUCGGUACAAAGGGUUGCUAACCUGCGAAGGGGUGCUAAUCUCAAAAAGCCGAUCGUAGUCCAGAUUGGAGUCUGCAACUCGACUCCAUGAAGUCGGAAUCGCUAGUAAUCGCAGAUCAGAAUGCUGCGGUGAAUACGUUCCCGGGCCU
rnacentral:rRNA from 1 species